rnacentral:rRNA from 1 species
GACGAACGCUGGCGGCGUGCUUAACACAUGCAAGUCGAACGGAAAGGCCCUGCUUGCAGGGUACUCGAGUGGCGAACGGGUGAGUAACACGUGGGUGAUCUGCCCUGCACUUCGGGAUAAGCCUGGGAAACUGGGUCUAAUACCGGAUAGGAGCCAUUUUUAGUGUGAUGGUUGGAAAGUUUUUUCGGUGUAGGAUGAGCUCGCGGCCUAUCAGCUUGUUGGUGGGGUAAUGGCCUACCAAGGCGGCGACGGGUAGCCGGCCUGAGAGGGUGGACGGCCACAUUGGGACUGAGAUACGGCCCAGACUCCUACGGGAGGCAGCAGUGGGGAAUAUUGCAAAAUGGGCGCAAGCCUGAUGCAGCGACGCCGCGUGGGGGAUGACGGCCUUCGGGUUGUAAACUCCUUUCGCUAGGGACGAAGCUUUUUGUGACGGUACCUAGAUAAGAAGCCCCGGCUAACUACGU